AUUGGGUUUAAAGGGUGCGCAGGCGGAUUAGUAAGUCAGUGGUGAAAGCUCCCGGCUCAACCGGGAAAAUGCCAUUGAUACUGUUAAUCUUGAGUACAGUUGAGGUAGGCGGAAUGUAUCAUGUAGCGGUGAAAUGCAUAGAUAUGAUACAGAACACCGAUAGCGAAGGCAGCUUACCAAACUGUAACUGACGCUCAUGCACGAAAGCGUGGGGAGCAAACAGGAUUAGAUACCCUGGUAGUCCACGCUGUAAACUAUGAUCACUCGCUGUUGGCGAUACACUGUCAGCGGCUUAACGAAAGUGUUAAGUGAUCCACCUGGGGAGUACGAUCGCAAGGUUGAAACUCAAAGGAAUUGACGGGGGCCCGCACAAGCGGAGGAGCAUGUGGUUUAAUUCGAUGAUACGCGAGGAACCUUACCUGGGCUUAAAUGCAGAACGACCUCCCGAGAAAUCGGGACUUCCUUCGGGACGGACUGCAAGGUGCUGCAUGGUUGUCGUCAGCUCGUGCCGUGAGGUGUCGGGUUAAGUCCCAUAACGAGCGCAACCCUUAUCCUUAGUUGCCAACAGGUAAUGCUGGGAACUCUAAGGAAACUGCCUACGCAAGUAGUGAGGAAGGUGGGGAUGACGUCAAAUCAGCACGGCCCUUAUGUCCAGGGCUACACACGUGCUACAAUGGUCGGUACAGAGGGCAGCUACCUGGCAACAGGAUGCUAAUCUCGAAAGCCGGUCUCAGUUCGGAUUGGAGUCUGCAACUCGACUCCAUGAAGUUGGAUUCGCUAGUAAUCG
rnacentral:rRNA from 1 species